AGUGAACGCUGGCGGUAGGCCUAACACAUGCAAGUCGAACGGCAGCACAGUAAGAGCUUGCUCUUACGGGUGGCGAGUGGCGGUCGGGUGAGGAAUACAUCGGAAUCUACUUUUUCGUGGGGGAUAACGUAGGGAAACUUACGCUAAUACCGCAUACGACCUACGGGUGAAAGCAGGGGAUCUUCGGACCUUGCGCGAUUGAAUGAGCCGAUGUCGGAUUAGCUAGUUGGCGGGGUAAAGGCCCACCAAGGCGACGAUCCGUAGCUGGUCUGAGAGGAUGAUCAGCAACACUGGAACUGAGACACGGUCCAGACUCCUACGGGAGGCAGCAGUGGGGAAUAUUGGACAAUGGGCGCAAGCCUGAUCCAGCCAUACCGCGUGGGUGAAGAAGGCCUUCGGGUUGUAAAGCCCUUUUGUUGGGAAAGAAAAGCAGCAGGUUAAUACCCCGCUGUUCUGACGGUACCCAAAGAAUAAGCACCGGCUAACUUCGUG
rnacentral:rRNA from 1 species